AAAAGAGAAAUCAGCCAUCAGCUGCUCUCAUACUACACUCUAUUCUAUUGUGGAACCCAACCCUACUAUAGGAUCAAGAGUGUCAGUGAUUCAAUGGCAAAGGAGUUUAAUUACCUUCUUUAAGGGCCAGCACCCAGCGCUGCCUGCUCUCACGAUCUGGAGCAAACACAUAUAGGAGGUAGUUGUCAUGCACCACCUGGAGACACACACACAGAGUUCAAGGUGAGCAGCGUGCAUGGAGAUAGUUGACUGACAGCAGACCUACUGAGCCGAGAGUGGGGUCUCGGGUGUUUAUCGUCAUAUAGGCAAACAUUUGGGUAAUUAGGGGGCCAGUAUCCUUUUUAUCCCUAGACAGUGCGAUUCCAGAUAGUCCUCAGAUUAUAAAAUCUGAAUCUUUUUGCCUCAGAAUCUCCAAGCAAUUCAUACCCAGCAAUUGCAAUAUGUUGCCUCAAAUCAUGAGUAAACUGCACUUAAAGCACAUUAGGUUUCGGGCCCCUGAUAGCAGCUUUAUUUCUUCCUUCACUAAUUAGGACUUUCCUUGAGGAAGAGAAGACAUGAGGGAAAGGGGUAUAAGGAAUAACCACCUUUUCAAGAUUUUGUGCUUAAUUUUUGUUCAAUAAGUGAAAGAAUUAACAAAUAAAUGUCACUGAUGGAAGGAACACAUACGUUUCCUAAUGGGAUUUGUCUAAGUCCUAACCUUGGAGCAGAGA
rnacentral:lncRNA from 1 species